rnacentral:rRNA from 1 species
AGAGUUUGAUCCUGGCUCAGAGCGAACGUUAGCGGCGCGCUUAACACAUGCAAGUCGCACGAGAAAGGGCUUCGGCCCCGGUAAAGUGGCGCACGGGUGCGUAACACGUAGGCAAUCUUCCCUUGAGCGGGGGAUAACGUUUCGAAAGAGACGCUAAUACCGCAUAAGACCACGACCGGUUCGCCGGUUGCGGUCAAAGCUGGCCUCUUCAUGAAAGCUAGCACUCGAGGACGAGCCUGCGGCCCAUCAGCUAGUUGGUAGGGUAACGGCCUACCAAGGCUAAGACGGGUAGCUGGUCUGAGAGGAUGAUCAGCCACACUGGAACUGAAACACGGUCCAGACUCCUACGGGAGGCAGCAGUGGGGAAUAUUGGACAAUGGGCGAAAGCCUGAUCCAGCGACGCCGCGUGAGUGAUGAAGGCCUUCGGGUUGUAAAGCUCUGUUGAGGGAGAAGAAAACAGUUAGGGCGAAUAGGCCUAGCUCUUGACGGUAUCCCUUUAGAAAGCACCGGCUAACUCUGUGCCAGCAGCCGCGGUAAUACAGAGGGUGCAAACGUUGCUCGGAAUUACUGGGCGUAAAGCGCGUGUAGGCGGACCUGUAAGUUGGACGUGAAAGCCCUGGGCUCAACCCAGGAAUUGCGUACAAAACUACAGGCCUAGAGUGAUGGAGAGGGCAGCAGAAUUCCUGGUGUAGAGGUGAAAUUCGUAGAUAUCAGGAGGAACACCGGUGGCGAAGGCGGCUGCCUGGACAUUAACUGACGCUGAGACGCGAAAGCGUGGGGAGCAAACAGGAUUAGAUACCCUAGUAGUCC